GCACAAGCGGUGGAGCAUGUGGUUUAAUUCGACGCAACGCGAAGAACCUUACCUGGGCUCGAAAUGUAGUGGACCGGGGUAGAAAUAUCCCUUCCUAGCAAUAGGCUGCUAUAUAGGUGCUGCAUGGCUGUCGUCAGCUCGUGUCGUGAGAUGUUGGGUUAAGUCCCGCAACGAGCGCAACCCUUAUUACCAGUUGCUACCAUUUAGUUGAGCACUCUGGUGAGACCGCCUCGGAUAACGGGGAGGAAGGCGGGGAUGACGUCAAGUCCUCAUGGCCUUUAUGUCCAGGGCUACACACGUGCUACAAUGGCCGGUACAAACCGUCGCAAACCCGUGAGGGGGAGCUAAUCGGAAAAAGCCGGCCUCAGUUCGGAUUGGAGUCUGCAACUCGACUCCAUGAAGCUGGAAUCGCUAGUAAUCGCGGAUCAGAACGCCGCGGUGAAUACGUUCCCGGGC
rnacentral:rRNA from 1 species